rnacentral:rRNA from 1 species
AUUGAACGCUGGCGGCAGGCCUAACACAUGCAAGUCGAGCGGAUGAGAGGAGCUUGCUCCUUGAUUCAGCGGCGGACGGGUGAGUAAUGCCUAGGAAUCUGCCUGGUAGUGGGGGAUAACGUUCCGAAAGGAACGCUAAUACCGCAUACGUCCUACGGGAGAAAGCAGGGGACCUUCGGGCCUUGCGCUAUCAGAUGAGCCUAGGUCGGAUUAGCUAGUUGGUGAGGUAAUGGCUCACCAAGGCGACGAUCCGUAACUGGUCUGAGAGGAUGAUCAGUAACACUGGAACUGAGAGACGGUCCAGACGCCUACGGGAGGCAGCAGUGGGGAAUAUUGGACAAUGGGCGAAAGCCUGAUCCAGCCAUGCCGCGUGUGUGAAGAAGGUCUUCGGAUUGCAAAGCACUUUAAGUUGGGAGGAAGGGCAGUAAGUUAAUACCUUGCUGUUUUGACGUUACCAACAGAAUAAGCACCGGCUAACUUCGUGCCAGCAGCAGCCGCAG